CGGGUGAGUAACGCGUGGGUAACCUGCCUCAUACAGGGGGAUAACAGUUAGAAAUGACUGCUAAUACCGCAUAAGCGCACAGUGCUGCAUGGCACAGUGUGAAAAACUCCGGUGGUAUGAGAUGGACCCGCGUCUGAUUAGGUAGUUGGUGGGGUAACGGCCUACCAAGCCGACGAUCAGUAGCCGACCUGAGAGGGUGACCGGCCACAUUGGGACUGAGACACGGCCAA
rnacentral:rRNA from 1 species